UACGAAGGGGGCUAGCGUUGUUCGGAUUUACUGGGCGUAAAGCGCACGUAGGCGGAUCGUUAAGUCGGGGGUGAAAUCCUGGAGCUCAACUCCAGAACUGCCUUCGAUACUGGCGAUCUCGAGUCCGGAAGAGGUGAGUGGAACUCCUAGUGUAGAGGUGGAAUUCGUAGAUAUUAGGAAGAACACCAGUGGCGAAGGCGGCUCACUGGUCCGGUACUGACGCUGAGGUGCGAAAGCGUGAGGAGCAAACAGG
rnacentral:rRNA from 1 species